AUGUCGAAGCCAUAGUGAAGCGAGCCUGGAAUAGGGCGACAAAAUGUAGUUGUUGAAUGACCCGAAACCGAGUGAGCCUACCAUGGUCAGGAUGAGUCACGGAGAAGUCCGUGAGGAGGUCCGUACCGGUCACUGCUGCAAGAGUGUCGGAUGAACUGUGGUAAGGGGUUAUAUGCCAAUCGAACUCGGAGAUAGCUGGUUCUCCCUGAAAUAUAUUUAGGUAUAGGGUCGAGUAUAAGCGUGUUGGGGGUAGGGCUCUGAUCGGGUGUUUGAGCAGCAAUGUUCGGCAUCUAGUCAAACUUCGAAUACCAAUACGUGUUCCUCGGCACUCAGCAUCCGGGAGCUAAGUUCCGGAAACAAAAGGAAAACAAACCAGACCAACAGCUAAGGUCUCAAAUGAUUGUUUAGUGGGGAAGGAAGUUUGUGUCCUAAGACACCUAGGAGGUCGGCUCAGAAGCAGCCAUCCUUUAAAGAAAGCGUAACAGCUCACUAGCCGUAGGAUACAUGCGCCCAAAAUGAAACGAGG
rnacentral:rRNA from 1 species